rnacentral:pre_miRNA from 1 species
AUGUAGAGCAUCUGUCUUUAAGUAGGGAUAAAUUACUCUUAAUAAAAAAAAGGGGGGGGAAUCCUAGAUGGUUUUCCCUUCAAGUCAAAUGUCUUGC